UGAAUCUUGAUGUUACUUGUUAUAGCUAAUGGGUGGCGCCACAAAAUAACGAUACAGUGAAACAUAAUCUCAAACUAGUCAAACUGUAGUAUAUACGAAUUUUUCGAUAAGUGCUUUUAACUUAACACAAAGUCAUUUCAACAUUUCAAGUAAUUGUUAAUAAUAUGUCAAAAUCGUAGAAAAUUUUGAUGAGUGGAUAGUAUUUUAGUUCAAUACUUACGAGAUCUCCCUACGUGAUUACGAAACAACAAUUUUCUACGUAAGGAACCAUCAUUGUCAUCUUUUGACGUUGGCUUCAGGAGGACUUUUUGAGUUCACACUAAAAAACUAAAAAAAAUUUAGUCUGUAUAAGGUUUUGGACCUCCUGCCAGACUCAUUCUUUACUGCAUCGCUAAGUAAUCGCAUUGCAAGCAGAAGAGAUGAAGAUAAAGCAGUGUUAUUUGACAGAGACCCAAA